rnacentral:rRNA from 1 species
AGAACGAACGCUGGCGGCAGGCUUAACACAUGCAAGUCGAACGCCCCGCAAGGGGAGUGGCAGACGGGUGAGUAACGCGUGGGAAUCUACCCAACCCUUCGGAAUAGCUCCGGGAAACUGGAAUUAAUACCGAGUACGCCCUACGGGGGAAAGAUUUAUCGGGGUUGGAUGAGCCCGCGUUGGAUUAGCUAGUUGGUGGGGUAAACGCGUACCAAGG